AGAGGGGGCUAGCGUUAUUCGGAAUUAUUGGGCGUAAAGGGCGCGUAGGCGGCCCUGCGUGUCUUCCGUGAAAUCCCUCGGCUUAACUGAGGACGUGCGGAAGAAACUGCAGGGCUCGAGUCCGGGAGAGGGGGGUGGAAUUCCCAGUGUAGCGGUGAAAUGCGUAGAUAUUGGGAGGAACACCGGUGGCGAAGGCGGCCCCCUGGACCGGUUCUGACGCUGAGGCGCGAAAGCGUGGGUAGCAAACGGGAUUAGAUACCCCGGUAGUCCACGCCGUAAACGAUGGGCACUUGGUGUCGCGGGUAUCGACCCCUGCGGUGCCGAAGCUAACGCAUUAAGUGCCCCGCCUGGGGAGUACGGUCGCAAGGCUG
rnacentral:rRNA from 1 species